AAGUUGAACUAGCUCGCGGUGGCGGCGAGUCCUGUUGUUGCUAGGCAACGAAAGUUUGGUUACUGCAGAACAGGAGCGUCCCAAUCAGUAUACUUCUGUACUUCAAGCACACUCGUUCUAGUUGUACGCUGCUCGCUCUGCUUGCAGUAUGGCUCAGAGACGCUGACGUUGUUUAAUUGAGUACCCUGACACACAAGGGUGGAGUUUGAGACGCACCACACAGUGCUUUCGCACGCAGGCAGCAACCAGGGUAACUUUCAAGGUGAGCUAAAAUGGUCUUGAUGUUGAUUUCAUCCACCUUCAAUCGUCGAAUUACUUUAGCCUUAUGCAAACAUGUUUUAUGAGUUAGUGUUAGGUUUAUGUUUGUUCUGGAAAUGAAACGGCAUACAGAAGUACCUUUACAAUGGAAACCACUAGCUAGCUCUGCCCACCAUGUUUUCAAUGACUGAAGCUAGGUGCUAGCUAGAGUUUGCCUUUGUAAAUCAGCUAUGUUGUCAGCCUGAGGAAGAUUUACAACGUGCAUUUAACAUGGACUUCCUCUGGAUGGUGGCAGAUUGACAACUUCACAUCAGUGAACAUGAAUCUCAUAACUGAUUGGAAAAAUAAAUAAAGUUUUGCACACAA